rnacentral:misc_RNA from 1 species
GGAAGUAAAAGUCGUAAUAAGGUUUCCGUAGGUGAACCUGCGGAAGGAUCAUUAAAAGGUUUCUCUAGGGGCGGGUAAAACCGUUCCCUGGAAAACUCCACCCUUGUGUAUUAUUAUUUGUUGCUUUGGUGGGCCGCGAGAUCGCCUAGCGAUUGAGCACCGGCUUUGGCUGGAGAGCGUCUGCCAGAGGACCCAACUCUGUUAUUUAUGUCGUCUGAGUACUAUUUAAUAGUUAAAACUUUCAACAACGGAUCUCUUGGUUCUG